rnacentral:rRNA from 1 species
UGGGGAAUAUUGCACAAUGGGCGCAAGCCUGAUGCAGCCAUGCCGCGUGUGUGAAGAAGGCCUUCGGGUUGUAAAGCACUUUCAGCGGGGAGGAAGGCGUUAAGGUUAAUAACCUUGGCGAUUGACGUUACCCGCAGAAGAAGCACCGGCUAACUCCGUGCCAGCAGCCGCGGUAAUACGGAGGGUGCAAGCGUUAAUCGGAAUUACUGGGCGUAAAGCGCACGCAGGCGGUCUGUCAAGUCGGAUGUGAAAUCCCCAGGCUCAACCUGGGAACUGCAUUCGAAACUGGCAGGCUAGAGUCUUGUAGAGGGGGGUAGAAUUCCAGGUGUAGCGGUGAAAUGCGUAGAGAUCUGGAGGAAUACCGGUGGCGAAGGCGGCCCCCUGGACAAAGACUGACGCUCAGGUGCGAAAGCGUGGGGAGCAAACAGG